rnacentral:rRNA from 1 species
CCUACGGGAGGCAGCAGUGAGGAAUAUUGGUCAAUGGCCGAGAGGCUGAACCAGCCAAGUCGCGUGAGGGAAGACGGCCCUACGGGUUGUAAACCUCUUUUGUCGGGGAGCAAAGCGAACCACGUGUGGUUCAUUGAGAGUACCCGAAGAAAAAGCAUCGGCUAACUCCGUGCCAGCAGCCGCGGUAAUACGGAGGAUGCGAGCGUUAUCCGGAUUUAUUGGGUUUAAAGGGUGCGCAGGCGGAGGUGCAAGUCAGCGGUCAAAUUGCGGGGCUCAACCCCGUACUGCCGUUGAAACUGCAUCCCUAGAGUGCGCGAGAAGUAUGCGGAAUGCGUGGUGUAGCGGUGAAAUGCAUAGAUAUAACGCAGAACUCCGAUUGCGAAGGCGGCCUGCUGGACCGUAACUGACGUUGAGGCUCGAAAGCGUGGGGAGCAAACAGGAUUAGAUACCCCGGUAGUC